UUCAUUCUCUUUCUCUCUCUCUCUCUCUCAAAAUGUCAAUUUCCACUUCAUUCCGACUAUUCUUCUACACCAAAUUCCCACAGUCCCUCCUCCUCCUCCGACCCACUUCCCCAAUCUUCAAAACCCUCUCCUUCUUCAAAUCAAUCUCUAUCCAAAGACUACCCACAACAAACCCACCUCUCUCUUCACCACCACCUCUACCAUCUUCUUCUUCAUCAUCCCAUCCCUCUUUCUCUCUCCAACAACCCAUUUCUGAACUCCCUCCAAAGCUCCAAGCAAUCGUCAAGCUCUUCCAAGCCGUGCAACAACCCAAGGCCAAAUACGAACAGCUCCUUUUCUACGGCAAAAACUUGAAAACCCUUGAUUCCCAGUUCAAAACCAGCGAAAACAGGGUCCAGGGUUGUGUCUCUCAGGUAUGGGUCAGAGCAUACCUUGACUCGGUCGGGAACGUUGUUUUUCAGGCAGAUUCUGACUCGGUACUCACCAAGGGGCUCGCUGCUUUGCUAGUCCAGGGGCUUUCAGGUCGACCAGUUGAGGAGAUUAUACGGGUUUCGCCCCAUUUUGUGGUGCUUCUUGGGUUGCAACAGAGUUUGACUCCGUCAAGGAAUAAUGGGUUCUUGAAUAUGCUAAGGUUGAUGCAAAAGAAGGCGUUGCAGCUAUAUUUGGAAGCUGAAAAAGGAGGUGAAUUGUCGUCUUUAUCAAUGAGUGCAGAAAACCCGGUUGAGGAUUUGGAUUCUGGCUCAAAAGUCGGGAUUGGUAUUGGGGAUUUGAAGUUGGGGAAAUCUGAAGUGGCUGCUGAUGAUUCGGAUUCGAAUUCAGACGGGUGGGGGAGUAGAGGGGAGAGAAUUAAGGAGAAAUUAGAGGCAGGACUGAGUCCUACCGAGUUGAAAGUGGACGAUAUAUCUUAUCAACAUGCAGGGCAUGAGGGUGUUAGAGGGAGUGACGGUGAGACUCAUUUUAAUGUGAAAGUAGUGUCAAAGGAAUUUGAAGGAAAAAGUUUGGUUAAGAGGCAUAGGCUUAUCUAUGAUUUGUUGCAAGAUGAGUUGCAGAGUGGAUUACACGCCUUGUCUAUUGUGGCAAAAACGCCAUCUGAAGUUGAUAUCAAGUGAAGAAUUUUGCAUGAAAGAGGUUCCUUUUUUUGUUUUUCUCUUUCUCAUUUUCAUAGGGUGAUGAAUUAUGGAAUAGAUUCAGGACACUAGAAGUAUUGGACCUUACUGAAGUUUGAGGAUAUGAGAGGAUAAUAUGAUUAUCAGAGAUUAUGGAAUACAUGGACGAUACCAAUGGGUCGGGAGUAGCAGGAGAUUCUUGUAUUACCUUUGGGCUAUCAGAUCCUGGUGUAACCAUGUUGGGCUUCAAUAGCGUUCCUUCUAGAAGAACAUGGUGGUCAUUCAGUGCCUUGUAACAGGCAGCAAGCACGGUUUCAGUGACAGCAGCACAUUUCUUAAUGUCAUGACUCCCAUCCGUCAACACCUCUGGCUCAACAAUCGGCACAAGUCCGUUAUCCUGACAAAUCCUUGCAUAACGCGCCAAUCCCUGCGCAUUCUGCUGGAUCGACAGCUCAGACGGUUCAGUGAUGCCAAUCUUGAGGACCGCACGCCACUUGGCAAACCGGGCCCCAGCCUCAUAGAAUUGCUGACAACGAGCUCCUAACGAAUCGAAACCUUGGGUGGUGGUCUCUCCAUUGGUACCAGCUAAAUCGACAGUGCCCUUGUCGACUUUGAUUCCAGGGACCACAUUGUUUUCCUUGAGGAGCUCGACAAAGGGCUUUCCAUCUAGGGUUUUUUGGUAGAGGGUUUCUUCAAAGAAAAUGACACCAGAGAGGUAGGUAAGUGCAUUGGGAGAGGUCAGAAGGAGCUCGCGGAGAGCUUGGCGGUUGUCAAUGUUGUUGUCGACGUUGAUGCUUGAUAGACGCUUCCCGAUGGUACCAGUGCUUUCGUCGGCGGCUAGAAUGCCCUUUCCUGGGGUGGCAAUGUACUUGGCAUUCUUGAUCAGUUCAUCUGCAGAGGAUAAUGUCUGAGAAAGCAAGGUAGAGUUUUGAAACGUUUUGUUUAGUGCAUGAUAUCAAGCUUCUUUGUUUGUAAAUCCUGCUUUUAGUUGUAAUAUUUGUUGGUUGUAUGCUAAGGUUAAUAUGGACCCAGAUACCUGUGUUUGGUGGGAGUUGGUGUAUGUGUCAAAUUCAUCUAUUUUUCAUGUUCCAAAAGGCGCUGACGUGACCAGUUUUUUUU